rnacentral:rRNA from 1 species
GAUAAACGCUGGCGGCGUGCUUAACACAUGCAAGUCGAACGAAGUUUUUCUUUCGGGAGGAACUUAGUGGCGGACGGGUGCGUAACGCGUGGGUAACCUGCCCUGUACAGGGGGACAACAGCUGGAAACGGCUGCUAAUACCGCAUAAGCCCUUAGCACUGCAUGGCGCAUAGGGAAAAGGAGCAAUCCGGUACAGGAUGGACCCGCGUCUGAUUAGCCAGUUGGCAGGGUAACGGCCUACCAAAGCGACGAUCAGUAGCCGAUCUGAGAGGAUGUACGGCCACAUUGGGACUGAGACACGGCCCAGACUCCUACGGGAGGCAGCAGUGGGGAAUAUUGCAAAAUGGAGGAAACUCUGAUGCAGCGACGCCGCGUGAGUGAAGAAGUAUUUCGGUAUGUAAAGCGCUAUCAGCAGGAAAGAAAAUGACGGUACCUGACUAAGAAGCACCGGCUAAAUACGUG